AACAUCGCGCUUCACAUUAGCUAAGUCCCAAGGCAUUGUGGGAAAAAACGCAUUGACGAUACACUCAUGGGAGCAAUCUCACUGCACCAUUGACAUCGGGAGACCAAGCCGUUUAGAACACCCACCAUGAUUUCGCCGCCGUAGCCUUGGAAACACUGUGCCGCACUCCCGCUACUGUGAUGCCUAAGCAGUGCUGAUCACCUUGCCCUCUACCAUACGGGAUUCACAGCCGGGGUGUGUGAGAACACUGCGGGGAUCUGCUGCUCCAUCUGUAUGGAGCUUACUAGGCACCAACACUGACAAUACCUGGGGCGGUGGCAUACUCACUACCGGGAAUAGAGUGACGGAGGUGUUACCACGGCGAGAGAGCUUACAUCUGCAAAGGGGUUUUUACCUUUUUUUGUGCCACAAAAAUGAAAAAUAUUCUCAAGAGGAGCUGUUAGUGUUGACCCCAGCUAGAGAUGAUAGCCCACGUAUCAUUCUCGUGAGUGUACUGUCAGGGCCAUUUCUAAGGAUUGUACAUGCUGUGCAAUUGAAAGUGGAACUACAGACUCUGCUGACAUAGGUCAUGCAGCUGCAUACUGUCUCACCCAGCAGUGCUCAGCAAUACUGAGGCUGCACAGCUCCUGGUGCUGAUGCUGCCUGCAGCUGGAAGCAUGUGGGGGACUGAAUGCUUCUCCUCUGCAGCACUAACAACAAAUCAGCACACUCUGGUACAGUACAGCCCACAUGUCUAUUUUAAUUGCUGUAGAAGUGACAACUGCCAAGCUUCUGUUCAGAAACAAAUUAUAGCAUCUCUCAGAUCUGCCCAUCCCAUCCCCAAUCAACUCAUGCCAUACUCAUCUUAGGUGUCGUCACAAUUCAUUUACAGUGACUAAGACCCAGAGCUAUCACAUGAGCAGGACUGCUGGCAGGAAGGCGAGUGGCAUUUUUUUAAUUUGUAAUUUUUGGACACUUGACAAAGGCUCUUAUAGAAAUGAAGCAUUUAUUAUUAUUUCUCUAAAUAUAAUCUUCUUACUGCAUCAUUUACUUUUGUUUGCAAUUCAGUCCCAAAGAGCAUGUCAUCUGGAAAUAUAAACUUGGAAAACAUGUGAUGGAUAACCAAGCCCUCUAACAUGACCCAUUUCAUCUGGUACACAAUGCUUUACUCUGGAACUUCCCACAUCAUUUAUUAUUGCAGCUACCUGAGCUGAAUUAAUUAUUGAUCUUUUAGAAGAAUAAACAUCUUGCACAUAGAUUCAUUCAUUCAGACCAGAUAACUAUGCUGGUAAAUGUGUUGGGAACAUUUUGGCGAAUCCAUCAAUAAAUCUAUCUAUCUAUCUAUC